rnacentral:rRNA from 1 species
CACAUAGUUAGCCGGGGCUUCCUCCUUAGGUACAGUCUUUUAUCUUCCCUAACGACAAUAGUUUACAAUCCGAAAACCUUCUUCCUAUACGCGGCGUCACUGCGUCAGAGUUUCCUCCAUUGCGCAAUAUUCCCGACUGCUGCCUCCCGUAGGAGUCUGGGCCGUAUCUCAGUCCCAAUGUGGCCGUUCAACCUCUCAGUCCGGCUACUGAUCGUAGUCUUGGUAGGCCGUUACCCCACCAACUAACUAAUCAGACGCAAGCCCAUCUAUUAGCGGAUUGCUCCUUUCCUAACUGUAUCAUGCGAUACUGUUAGCAUAUGCGGUAUUAGCAAUGAUUUCUCACUGUUAUUCCCCUCUAAUAGGCAGGUUGCUUACGUGUUACUCACCAGUCCGCCACUAACCGCUCUCAAACUAAAGAAUGAGUUAAGUCCGUUCGACUUGCAUGUCUUAUGUGCGCCGCCAGCGUUUAUCCUGAGCCAGGAUCAAACUC